GACGAACGCUGGCGGCGUGCCUAAUACAUGCAAGUUGAGCGCUGAAGGUUGGUACUUGUACCGACUGGAUGAGCAGCGAACGGGUGAGUAACGCGUGGGGAAUCUGCCUUUGAGCGGGGGACAACAUUUGGAAACGAAUGCUAAUACCGCAUAACAACUUUAAACACAAGUUUUAAGUUUGAAAGAUGCAAUUGCAUCACUCAAAGAUGAUCCCGCGUUGUAUUAGCUAGUUGGUGAGGUAAAGGCUCACCAAGGCGAGGAUACAUAGCCGACCUGGGAGGGUGAGCGGCCACAUUGGGACUGAGACACGGCCCAAACUCCUACGGGAGGCAGCAGUAGGGAAUCUUCGGCAAUGGACGAAAGUCUGACCGAGCAACGCCGCGUGAGUGAAGAAGGUUUUCGGAUCGUAAAACUCUGUUGGUAGAGAAGAACGUUGGUGAGAGUGGAAAGCUCAUCAAGUGACGGUAACUACCCAGAAAGGGACGGCUAACUACGUGCCAGCAGCCGCGGUAA
rnacentral:rRNA from 1 species